rnacentral:rRNA from 1 species
UAAAGGGAGCGCAGGCGGACCUUUAAGUCAGCUGUGAAAUACGGCGGCUCAACCGUCGAACUGCAGUUGAUACUGGAGGUCUUGAGUGCACACAGGGAUGCUGGAAUUCAUGGUGUAGCGGUGAAAUGCUCAGAUAUCAUGAAGAACUCCGAUCGCGAAGGCAGGCAUCCGGGGUGCAACUGACGCUGAGGCUCGAAAGUGCGGGUAUCAAACAGGAUUAGAUACCCUGGUAGUCCGCACAGUAAACGAUGAAUACUCGCGGUUUGCGAUACAAUGUAAGCCGCCAAGCGAAAGCGUUAAGUAUUCCACCUGGGGAGUACGCCGGCAA